rnacentral:rRNA from 1 species
ACGGGAGGCAGCAGUGGGGGAUAUUGCACAAUGGGGGAAACCCUGAUGCAGCGACGCCGCGUGAGUGAUGAAGUAUUUCGGUAUGUAAAGCUCUAUCAGCAGGAAAGAUAAUGACGGUACCUGACGAAGAAGCACCGGCUAAAUACGUGCCAGCAGCCGCGGUAAUACGUAUGGUGCAAGCGUUAUCCGGAUUUACUGGGUGUAAAGGGAGCGCAGACGGCAUGGCAAGCCAGAUGUGAAAGGCAGGGGCUCAACUCCUGGACUGCAUUUGGAACUGUCAAGCUAGAGUAUCGGAGAGGUAAGUGGAAUUCCUAGUGUAGCGGUGAAAUGCGUAGAUAUUAGGAGGAACACCAGUGGCGAAGGCGGCUUACUGGACGAUAACUGACGUUGAGGCUCGAAAGCGUGGGGAGCAAACAGGAUUAGAUACCCUGGUA